GGUUGCGAUCAUACCAGCACUAAUGCACCGGAUCCCAUCAGAACUCCGCAAUUAAGCGUGCUUGGGCGAGAGUAGUACUAGGAUGGGUGACCCCCUGGGAAGUCCUCGUGUUGCAACCG
rnacentral:rRNA from 2 species